UGCAUAUCCAAAAAGCGGAGGAAAAGAAACUAACAAGGAUUCCCCUAGUAACUGCGAGUGAAGCGGGAAAAGCUCAAAUUUAAAAUCUGGUGGUCUUUGGCCAUCCGAGUUGUAAUCUAGAGAAGUGUUAUCCGCGCUGGACCGUGUACAAGUCCCCUGGAAUGGGGCGUCAUAGAGGGUGAGAAUCCCGUCUUUGACACGGACUACCAGGGCUUUGUGAUGCACUCUCAAAGAGUCGAGUUGUUUGGGAAUGCAGCUCAAAAUGGGUGGUAAAUUCCAUCUAAAGCUAAAUAUUGGCGAGAGACCGAUAGCGAACAAGUACCGUGAGGGAAAGAUGAAAAGAACUUUGGAAAGAGAGUUAAACAGUACGUGAAAUUGUUGAAAGGGAAACGCUUGAAGUCAGUCGCGUCUGCCAGGGAUCAACCUUACUUUUGUGAGGCGUACUUCCUGGUUGAUGGGUCAGCAUCAGUUUUGGUCGCUGGAYAAAGGUCAGAGAAAUGUGGCACCUUCGGGUGUGUUAUAGUCUUUGAUCAGAUACAGUGGCUGGGACUGAGGAACUCAGCGCCGCAAGGCUGUCUUAGGAUGCUGGCAAAAUGGCUUUAAUCGACCCGUCUUGAAACACGGCCAAAGGAGUCA
rnacentral:rRNA from 1 species